rfam:Sphingobium chungbukense strain DJ77 contig00020, whole genome shotgun sequence.
GGCAUGGACGGCGAUGGAUUUCCGCCUGGCUUCGGCCGAACCGCCUCCGGGCUGAUGAUUCCUACCUGCUG